AUUGAACGCUGGCGGCAUGCCUUACACAUGCAAGUCGAACGGCAGCACGGGUGCUUGCACCUGGUGGCGAGUGGCGAACGGGUGAGUAAUACAUCGGAACAUGUCCUGUAGUGGGGAUAGCCCGGCGAAAGCCGGAUUAAUACCGCAUACGAUCUACGGAUGAAAGCGGGGGACCUUCGGGCCUCGCGCUAUAGGGUUGGCCGAUGGCUGAUUAGCUAGUUGGUGGGUAAAGGCCUACCAAGGCGACGAUCAGUAGCUGGUCUGAGAGGACGACCAGCCACACUGGGACUGAGACACGGCCCAGACUCCUACGGGAGGCAGCAGUGGGGAAUUUUGGACAAUGGGCGAAAGCCUGAUCCAGCAAUGCCGCGUGUGUGAGAAGGCUCGGGUUGUAAGCACUUUUUCGAAAGAAAUCCUUGGCUCUAAUACAGUCGGGGAUGACGGUACCGGAAGAAUAAGCACCGGCUAACUACGUGCCAGC
rnacentral:rRNA from 1 species